UGAAUAUGAAAUUCCAGCAAUAAGAAAUG
rnacentral:piRNA from 1 species